AUAACGGAAGUUUUCGGAUGGAAGAUAUGAAACUUAGUGGCGGACGGGUGAGUAACACGUGAGCAACCUGCCUUUCAGAGGGGGAUAACGUUUGGAAACGAACGCUAAUACCGCAUAACGUAGUCAAUCGGCAUCGAUUGACUACCAAAGGAGCAAUCCGCUGAAAGAUGGGCUCGCGUCCGAUUAGAUAGUUGGCGGGGUAACGGCCCACCAAGUCGACGAUCGGUAGCCGGACUGAGAGGUUGAUCGGCCACAUUGGGACUGAGACACGGCCCAGACUCC
rnacentral:rRNA from 1 species